GUGAGCACAUCCUGCGGCCAGGGUCAGCGGGGCCUUCCCGGGCCAGUCCCAUGGCCUCGCCCCCGGGCUCCACAGACGCCCUGGGAUAUCCAGACCGAGUCCGGGCCUGCCUUGGGAAGGAGAGGGGAGCAAACGUGGGGGCGAGGGCUGCUCAAUUCCCUCUCCCCCCCCUCCCCCCGGAGUGUCCCAGGGAAGCACCUCCAGACCCCAGGCCUCGGGCGCUUUCGAAGGCGGCCCUGGUGCGGGGAGGCCUGGGGGGCCCCCUGUGGAGUGUAAACAUCCCACACGCUGCUGCCCGGUGACCACCGGUUUAUAGAGUGAAGCUUGUUCAGGUCCACGUGCUCAGGGGCCUGUGAGCUACCAAGUCUCCCAGGACUUGGAUCCUCCCACUCUCUGCUUCCAGCCACUCGCCCCUCCCCGCCCCAGCAACCGCAGCCCGGACAAGAAAAGGAGGAGGAGGAGGAGAGAAUUUGGAAACGCCUAAGAGAGCUAAAAGAAGACAGUGUUCCUGAGGGUGACUGUACUUCUCCAGGCAUUCAAGUGAACUACAGCCGGACUACUUACACCCUGUGCGUAGAAGAAGGUCUCUAGUUUUGCUGUGCCAGCGAUGAUCCCCAAGAUGACAACUGGGCAGCAGGCGUCAAGGACAGUUACUACAAGCUUAAUAAACAAACCAUCUUCCAUAAGUGCCCACAUCUAUAAUGUAAUUUUGACAGUUAUGUAAACCAGAAAGAGUAAGAGUUCAGCAACCUCAUGGUAAUAAAAUAGCCCUGGCUGCCCUGCAGGA